rnacentral:snRNA from 1 species
AUCGCUUCUCGGCCUUUUGGCUAAGAUCAAGUGUAGAUCCCUGUAGUGCAUACCAGCCAGCAGCACCUGGCAGCCAACAGCUGCCCCAAGAAUUUUUUUUUUUUUUUUUUUUUGGUACCGGGGAUCGAACUCAGGUCCUUGCACUUGCGCAGCAGGCAGUGAAACCACU